rnacentral:rRNA from 1 species
CGAGUAGGGCGGGACACGUGAUAUCCUGUCUGAAUAUGGGGGGACCAUCCUCCAAGGCUAAAUACUACUGACUGACCGAUAGUGAACCAGUACCGUGAGGGAAAGGCGAAAAGAACCCCUGUGAGGGGAGUGAAAUAGAACCUGAAACCGUGUACGUACAAGCAGUAGGAGCACCUUCGUGGUGUGACUGCGUACCUUUUGUAUAAUGGGUCAGCGACUUAAUUUUAGUAGCAAGGUUAACCGUUUAGGGGAGCCGUAGGGAAACCGAGUCUUAACUGGGCGUACAGUUGCUAGGAUUAGACCCGAAACCAGGUGAUCUAGCCAUGGGCAGGUUGAAGGUUGAGUAACAUCAACUGGAGGACCGAACCGACUAAUGUUGAAAAAUUAGCGGAUGACUUGUGGCUAGGGGUGAAAGGCCAAUCAAACCUGGAGAUAGCUGGUUCUCCCCGAAAGCUAUUUAGGUAGCGCCUCGGACGAAUACUACUGGGGGUAGAGCACUGUUAAGGCUAGGGGGUCAUCCCGACUUACCAACCCUUUGCAAACUCCGAAUACCAGUAAGUACUAUCCGGGAGACACACGGCGGGUGCUAACGUCCGUCGUGGAGAGGGAAACAACCCAGACCGCCAGCUAAGGUCCCAAAGUAUAGCUAAGUGGGAAACGAUGUGGGAAGGCUCAGACAGCCAGGAUGUUGGCUUAGAAGCAGCCAUCAUUUAAAGAAAGCGUAAUAGCUCACUGGUCGAGUCGGCCUGCGCGGAAGAUGUAACGGGGCUAAGCUAUACACCGAAGCUGCGGCUACGUACCUUAGGGUAUGUGGGGUAGGGGAGCGUUCUGUAAGCCGUUGAAGGUGGUCUGUAAGGGCUGCUGGAGGUAUCAGAAGUGCGAAUGCUGACAUGAGUAACGAUAAAGGGAGUGAAAAACUCCCUCGCCGGAAGACCAAGGGUUCCUGUCCAACGUUAAUCGGGGCAGGGUAAGUCGACUCCUAAGGCGAGGCCGAAAGGCGUAGUCGAUGGGAAACGGGUUAAUAUUCCCGUACUUCUUACAAUUGCGAUGGGGGGACGGAGAAGGCUAGGUGGGCCUGGCGACGGUUGUCCAGGUUCAAGUAC